AGGUGAUUUAGGAUUUGAACUUUCGAAAAAAGUUUAGUUUACUUCUGCGUAAUCAUUCACCCGCUCUAAUUGUCUAUCUCGAUCUCACAUUUACUCGACCGGCAAACACCAAUUGACACCAAAGGACUACAAUUAAAAAAAGCUCCAGUCGUGUAAAAAUAAGGACGUAAAAUAAAGGAUUUUUUAUUGGUUCCUAAUGAACUUGGAGAUGGAACACGCAGCAAAAAAGAAGCCAAUCAGUGGUCCAGCUUGAAAAAAAGAGGUACAGACGGGUCCAAUAUGGUCGAAUAAACAAACGAAAAAAAUUGAGGAUUAUCAAAACUUGGAUCGGCCAGAAAAAAAAAAUGACGACAUCGCAACAUGAACAGAUAAUCAAAAUAACCUAUUCCUGAUCUUGGGGUGCCGCUCAGCC
rnacentral:lncRNA from 1 species